rnacentral:lncRNA from 1 species
GUGCUUUCUAAAGCCCCAUCAGACUCCAAUGAUGGAGCACUGUGGUGCUUUGAGUAUUUGGGGGUGCCUUCUGGGUACCCAGCACUGUGCUGGAUGUGAUGCUGAAAAAUGAUAACAGGGCUUCCUUUACACUCUCAUUUCCUCAGCAGCCCCUCAGGUGCAUAUGAGGAAACUGAGUCACAGAGCGUGCCUUGAAUGUCCCAAAACCCCCAGUCUGUGAGUCAGGGUUUGUGUUCAUUAACAGGUCUCCAUCUCUCACCAUGAUGCUGGUGGCCCCCCCCAAGUAGGAGCCACAGAUCUUUGCCCAAAGUCCAGGGCUACCUGUAUGACUCCACAAUUCUCCCGGGCUGCUGAGGGUGUUGGCAGCCCUGAGGGUGGCAGCUGGGGUAGGGAGUGUGCGAUGCAGUCACGGGCCCUUGGCGGAGUGUUGGCUCCAAGCCUGGCUCCUCCGCCAACCCCAGGCCAGCCUCCCUGGCACUUCCACCCCAGCCCCUCUGAGCUGAAGAUGGUUUCAGACCAUUUCACAGGAGUGCUAGGCUCAGUCAUCUUUUAGUGGCUGGGGCCCUUUCCGGAUCUCGCUGGGCCUCCCUCUAAGCAAGCCCCUGGAGGCGCAGAGCAGAGGGGUGACCAAGCAGGGCCCCAAGCCCGCAGUCUCCCCUCUCUUCCUCCUCUCUUCUAGCACUUCCCUCGUGCGUCCCCCAUCAGCUCCUCUGUCCCCCACAGCAGGUCCCUCUCUCCAAUCAUAGUUCCUGCAGCUCAGCUCCCUCUCCAGAAGACUUCUGCCCAGGGGCGUGUACUCAUGGAUCUCCCUGAACCCUACCCCUGGUACCCCAAAGCAAGAGGGCUAGAUGGCGGGAGGACAGAGGAUUGAGAGGGGAGCUCGGUGCCCCUGGUGCCCCUGUCUCCGGCGGGUCCCCCCAGGGAGGAACCCCACCAUCCUUUUCACAUCCUUUUCACAGCCCCUCUCCCUGGCCGCUGCCCAAUGUGACUCCUCAUCCAAGUCAGGGCCGGCCUCUGGAUUCUUCUGGGUGCACACGGGGCCAGUCCCCUCUCCCAGGUCUGUCCUGAGUCCUGCUGCUGCCUCGGGCCACUUAGCAUGCAGCCCUGGUUGUGCGGCUGCAGCAACCAAAUGAGAUUAGCUUGCCUGCUAAAGCAAGUCCCCACUCGCCACCACCCACGGCCCUGCACAGUCGCCAGCUGCUCUGGAGAGCCCACGGCUGGGCGGGCCCGGCCCGGCCCCUACCACCUCACUCCCCCUCGAACUUGGGGCCAGGGGCAGGUGGAAAGAGGAGGAAGGAUCCUGCCCAACCUUAUAGGCCUGCAGCCUCCCUCCCAACAGGCCUUCUGGAGUCAGCAGGGGGGCAGAGGGGACUCUGGGCAGAGGGAGACAAACGAGAUUAAGGAUGCUUCCUGGCUUUGUAUCCUUUGCCAGUUCUCCUCCACCCAACCUCCUGGGAGGAACAAAUGGGACAUACACCCUGCCGCUUCUCCGCCCUUUACAUCUCCAGGGCCAGUAGUAGGGAGCGAGGGGGAGGAAGGGUCCGGCCCAGCGGCACUCCCUCAGCGUCUGCUCCCACGCCUGCUGGGAGUCAAGCAAGAAGGUCUGCCCCGGCCCCGGGCCUCCCUGCCUCUCUCCUGGCCAGAGAAGGGGAGCCGUGGGAAGAAGGACCCAACUCAGCCCCAGCCCCCAUCCAGCCGGAGGCCCUGCCCCUCACCCCCAGGAAGCUUCCAGGGCCUGUGAAGGAAGCUGGCAGGAAGAAGGUUUUCAAGAAGCCCGAGUUCUCAAUCAGACCCCCGGAGAGCCCUCAUGGUGCAGCCCAGCCCAGCCCAGCCCAGCCCCCAGGCCUGACGGAAGAUCAGAAGCCGAAUGCUGCUGCCUCACAGCCUGAGCUGGUCCUGGCUCCCCGUUCCCAGCCAGCGUCUCCAUCUACAGCCUGAAAGUCUGAGACUCCGGCGUUACCUGGCUCCAGGCCUCUAACCACGCAGCCCCUUCCCUCACCCCUCUCUGCUCGCCCACCUCCCUUCCACAUGUCCACCUGUCACUAGUCUAGUGCAGACCCUCUGGGGGUGGGCGGUCCCAGGAGCCAGGGAGUCGAGCAAGGGGAGGACCCCAGCCCAGGAUCAUGUGGCCCCAGACCUUUCCCCAAUAAGCCCACCCUCCCCAAACACACACGCGCGCAUGCGCGCACACACACACAAACACACAGAUACACACACACACACUCUGCUUCUUUUGGAUCACUCAGAAUGUGUUGUUGAAUCUCAAGUUCACAAAUUAUCACCUCUUAAUCCAAUCCCCAUUUUACAGGUGGGGAAAUCGAGGCCCAGAGAGGGAACGGACUUGUCCAAAGUUACAUGGCAAGGAAAUUCCUCUGAGCCCAGCCAGUCCUUCCCUCCUGGAAGGACCUCCCCUGGGAGCCCCCAGUGGCCUAUAGGCUGUCUCCCCAGGCUCUCCAAGUCCUCCUGGCUGCCAGACCCGGCCAAUUGCAGGGCCCCAAAGUUAAUAAAUCAAGGUGACUUUGGGGACGAGAAUCGGCCUCCUUCUCCCUUGUCCCUCCCAUUUGCAUAAUCCUGGCUGGCAAUAUGAUAAUGAUGUUUGUUAAAGACAGAGCACAAUAAAUUAAUACCGUUAAGUUGUUGCUGCAAAAUGCAAAGCAGGUAAUUUACUGCCAGCAAGGAAUGGAGCCUUUAAACUGUAAUGGAUUAACUUUCCCAGCAGCAAAUGUGUCCCCCGAGGGAGGGAGGGGGACGGCAGGGGCGGGGCUGGCUUGAUGGUAGGGAGGCCGCCCUUCUUCCCAGGGUCCGGGCAUUUGGUGCCCAGGCCCCGAUCUUAGGUCUCCACUGGAUGUCAACCUCUUCUCCAUUGUGCAGAAGGGGAAACUGAGGCCGGCAUGGAGGUUGAGCUGUAGAAGACCACAGCCAGACAGUGCUGGUGAACUGGGACUUCCUGGGACAGCACACACCCCUCUAGAGGAGGGGGCUGCGGAUGCCCCAUUGGUGCACCCACACUGGGACCCUCGGAAGCAGCCCCUGUUGCAGACCUUUCUUUCUUGAGGGUGACUAGAGGGGUCCCACCAGGCCUAGUCCCAACCCCACAAGUGGCCAAGCUUCCAGCCCAAAGGAGGCCUCAGCCCCAGAGUCAAUCCUGGCUCAGGCCUGGCUCCUCUUGGGGUCCACACCACGGCAAGGAGGG